UCUCUGAAAGCAAUUAAUGUAUUGAGUGAGUGAUAUUGGAAAUGAAUAUUAUAUGUUCAAGUUGAAUUACAAAUGAAUAUUUAUUUUAGGCUACUGCUGAAAUAACAAUAACCUGAAAAUUGUACUUUAUUUGCAGAUAUUUUCUUCUUUCGGAAUAAGGAAGGAAGCAUAAGCUAUUCUCAGUGCUGUUGCAUGGAUGUUAGGAGUGUACUAAAACUACAAAAUUGCGGAAAUUUUCCGAUUGUUUUUCUUUAUGUCCAUACACUAUAAAGUGCAUCGUCUGAAUAUAUUUUAAAUCAAGCUUUCCAGUUUUAUGAAAGCUUCCUGUUUUGUUCAUAAUUUCAAAUAACUAUGUUUGCUUAUAACAUAAUUGUGACCUGACCAUUUUCUAUGAAGUUGAUUGAAGUAGAUAUUUGGUAAAUUUCAUGUUGAAUGAAAUACAGUUGUAAUUUGUUUUCUGUAUUUUAUAAUUAAAGCUAUACUUUGCAAACACCUUCUUCAAUGUUGUUAUUUGUUGAAACUAUAAACUCAAUCCAUCUAUUUGUUCUUAAUUAACUUAGUUUAAAAGUUUCAGGGAACAUGCAGUAGGUCUGUCUAUGCAUGUUUGANCUUGAUUUUGUUGAAAAAUCGAAUUUGGAGAAUUUUUAUGGUUUGGAAGAAGUUUUGAACAAUGAAGCAAAUGAAGAAAACUGAGUUUCUGCGUUCUGGUUAUGAUCAGUUUUCCUCGGCAGUUAACUGCCGAGGAAAUCCUCGGUAGUUUGCUGCCGCCGGUUCACUCAAAACUUCGGCAGUUAACUGCCAAAGGGCAUUUUGAUAUUUUACUCGUGUAGCACAUCCAUACUAUAUGUGGGAACAACAAUUCUCAUGAAAAAUACAGUAAGAAAUACUACCAAAAAAAAAAAAAAGAGAAAAACGACGUCGUUUAAUCUAAAGCAUUUUCAGAAACGAACGAACGCUUACAGUAUCUCACUGUCUUGAAUCGUGUUUUUCCAAACCCUAACUCUAAAGCUUCACCAUCAUCAUCAUCAUCUUCCUCCAAAAUCACCAACCUCAACCUUUCAUCCAUUUUUCCAAUUCACCUCUUUCUCUUCCCAAUUUUCAUUCCUCAAAACCCUAAUUUCACAUACAAUCCACAAUGAAAAGGAAGAGAAGUUCUUCUACGAAAUCAUCACAACAAGCGGUUUCUUCAGAUUUACCUAAUGAAUGUUGGGAAUUGAUCUUCAGAUUCAUCCUCAAAGACGAAAACAAUUUAGAUUAUUACUCAUUAUAUAUCUUGAAUUCUCUAUCCCUUGUCUCCAAACAGUUCCUCUCCAUCACCAACACUCUUCGAUUAUCACUCUCUGUCCCAUUUUCUAGAGGCAUGAUUCCCAUCUUCAAAAGAUUCACCGACAUAACCUCUCUCAAAUUCGAUCCUUUCCUUUACCCUGACCUCGACAAAAUUCUUUGCAAAGUCUCUCGUUUUCCUUUGAAGAAACUCACAUCACUCGAUAUUUCCUACCAAUGCACCAUUCCCGCAAAUGGGUUGCGAGUUUUCUCUCAAAAUAUUAGAACUUUGACCUCUCUCACUUGUUCCGACAUUGAUGAUUUUAAUACUACUGACUUGUUUCUUAUCGCAGAAUGUUUUCCUUUGCUUGAAGAACUCAACCUCAUUUUCCCUUCAGAUUGGAAAAGUAUAUAUAAAAAUUACAAUAACUAUUGUGAUGGGAUAGAGGCUCUUUCACUUGCAUUAGUCAAACUCCGUAAGGUUAAACUUUGUAGAUUUCCCAUGAGUGACAAGUCACUCUUUUACUUGUUCAACAGUUGUAAGCUUCUUGAAGAUGUUACCUUGUUUGAGUGUGAUCAAAUAACUAUUGCUGGAAUUGCUUCUGCUAUUCGUGAGAGACCAACAUUGAAGUCAUUAUCGUUUUGCAAUCGAACAUACUCUGAAAAUUCUAUUUCUAAUGAUGAUAUUUCGCAUUUUAAAGUUACUUCAGAUUUUAUUGACUCGCUGGUGAGUUUGAAGGGUUUGACUUCUCUUUCUUUGAGAUCUCUGGAUAUCUCUGAUGAAAUGCUCUACUCUAUUGCGAGGGAAGGUCUACCUUUGACGAGGCUUGCCCUCAGAUAUUGCUUGGACUAAAGCUAUGCUGGAAUCUUUUGUUUGUCAUCUAAGUGUCGAGGUUUGCAACACAUGGAUCUUGAACAUGCCAUUUUCCUGAAUGAUCACUAUGUUGAUGAGUUUUCUUUGUUUAUUGGUGAUUUAGUGUCUGUAAACCUUAGUCAAUGUUUGGAGAUCACAUAUUCAUCCUUGUUUGCACUCGUUAGGAAUUGUCCUUCACUUAGUGAGAUCAAAAUGGAAAAUAUAGGGAGUAAGAGUUUAGACAAUUCUGAUUCUUUGCCGGAUUUUGGUGUAUACCCUCAAUUGAAGUCUCUCUAUUUGGCUUACAAUACAUGGGUAAGGGAUGAACACAUCAUAAUGUUUUCUUCCAUUUUUCCUAAUUUGAAGCUGUUUGAUUUGAACUCUUGCAAUCACAUAUCGGAAGGCAUUUGUCAAGUUUUAAGGAGGUGUUCUAAUAUUAGGCAUUUAAAUUUAGCCCACUGUUCAAGAGUGAAUCUACUUGAAGUGAACUUCGUAAAACACUCUAUGUGAUCUCAAAGUAUUGUUGUGGACUUUUGAAACUAUUUGUGAACAAUUGUAAUGAUGUCACAGAGAAAGGAGUGAAACAUGUGAAAGAAAACUGCUCACAACUGAGGGAGCAUGGAUACAUUCGGCACUAUUCUGAAAGUGUUGUGCUGAAAGUUUGAACUCUGUAAGUGGUUUUUGUUUUAAGAUUUAGUUCUUUGAGAAAUUAAUAUUUUAAAAUGUCAACUUACGAAUGUGCAUUUACUCAUCAAUUUGUGCAUUAUAAUUCCCUAAAUAUAUUCGCGUAAUAUUCUUUUGAAACUAUGUGUGGACAAUUACGUUUUUUGAAGUUACCAAGUGAAUAUAACAAAAAUAAUGUAUUUUUCUUAGCUUGAAAUAUCUUACAUGUGAACUCAAAACCAAAGUAUCUUGGGGUGUGAGUAGAAUUCUACAUUCAAUUCAAAUAUAUGUGAAACAAAGAUGUUUCAAUGUUGAACAUUUAGUUUUUUACACUAAGGUUAAUUAGAUAGAACUAAGGUUCCUUAGUUGCACUUCCUUCACUUUCAAUUUUGGCAAUUAUAGAUUUUGAAAUGCUCCACUGUUGUCACUGUAAAGGGAUGGUUUUUGAGAAUUUUAUGUUUAGAAUUAGAAUUACUAUUUCUUUUCUAAUUACAGGCUUAGGAAGUGUCCAAACUAUUAACUUGCUUCAUAUAUCUAUUGGAUUAUCGUGAUAGUAACAAAAUUACGACAUCUUCUUUAUGCUUUUCUUGAUCGAACCAGCAACUAAUAGGAUCUUAAGAGUUUAUAGUUUUCACAACAGAUAGAACACUAACAUGUUGUUUAAUCAUUAAAUUGUCUCUUAUACUUAUCCCACGGCUGAAGUCUUGACACAUUGCUUCCUUCCCUAUGUUUUUUUUGUCUCUUUACAUUAGGUAUGUUUUAUCAGAUCUUUGAAAUGUUAGCUCUAAAUCUUGUCUCUUUACGUUAGUUCCAUUUGAGUUAGCUGGUGAAAUAUUACAGGGCAAAUGACAUUGGUGAUACCAGUAUUUCCUAUAAAACUCGUAAGCAUGGAAGAAAUUAAUUGAUUAAAACUAGACAAUUAUUCUACUUUAAGUGACAAAAACAUCACAAUUACAAGAUCGGACUUCUCAAAUUGGUUUUUGCAACUACUGCAUCUGGCCAUGUUUCAAAUCAGAUUUUGGUGGAGUUUAAGUCUCUUCUCCCUCUUCAAUAGUUUAUUAGCAAUGAUAACCAAAUUGCUCAUCUAUUGCAUGAUCCCUGAAACUCAAUGGAUAUAAUUAGAGACUUAGGCUUAUCACCAAUUGUUAUUAACUAUAAAUUGUACACCUGUGAAACUUUUACAUGCUGACUUUUCUGCAAGAACAUGUUAUACAAGCUUCUUUAUCUUUUCCAUAUAGAAAUCUGAAUUUUUAAUUAAUAAUAAAAACAUAGUUCCAGUAUUUCCCAAAUUCAAUUAAAAAUAGUUUUGCAACUUCAUUUCUACUAUCAACAACACAUACUUCUCUUGAACUCUGGUUGUGUAGAUAAUCUUUUGAAUGCAAUGUACUUGGAGAUCAAUUGUUGUGAUUUUAAUUCCUUUUGUUUCUCUGAAAGCAAUUAAUGUAUUGAGUGAGUGAUAUUGGAAAUGAAUAUUAUUAUGUUCAAGGUGAAUUACAAAUGAAUAUUUAUUUUAGGCUACUGCUGAAAUAACAAUAACCUGAAAAUUGUACUUUAUUUGCAGAUAUUUUCUUCUUUCGGAAUAAGGAAGGAAGCAUAAGCUAUUCUCAGCCUCCGUGUCUUGUUGCAUGGAUGUUAGGAGUGUACUAAAACUACAAAAUUGUGGAAAUUUUUCAAGUGUUUUUCUUUAUGUCCAUACACUAUAAAGUGCAUCGUCUGAAUAUAUUUUAAAUCAAGCUUUCCAGUUUUAUGAAAGCUUCCUGUUUUGUUCAUAAUUUCAAAUAACUAUGUUUGCUUAUAACAUAAUUGUGACCUGACCAUUUUCUAUGACGUUGAUUGAAGUAGAUAUUUGGUAAAUUUCAUGUUGAUUGAUAUACAGUUGUAAUUUGUUUUCUGUAUUUUAUAAUUAAAG
rnacentral:lncRNA from 1 species